rnacentral:rRNA from 1 species
GACGAACGCUGGCGGCGUGCUUAACACAUGCAAGUCGAACGAUGAAGCUGGAGCUUGCUCCAGUGGAUUAGUGGCGAACGGGUGAGUAACACGUGAGCAAUCUGCCCUUGACUCCGGGAUAACUGCGGGAAACUGUAGCUGAUACUGGAUACGACCUACGAAGGCAUCUUCUGUAGGUGGAAAGAAUUUCGGUUCGGGAUGGACUCGCGGCCUAUCAGCUUGUUGGUGAGGUAAUGGCUCACCAAGGCGACGACGGGUAGCCGGCCUGAGAGGGUGACCGGCCACACUGGGACUGAGACACGGCCCAGACUCCUACGGGAGGCAGCAGUGGAGAAUAUUGCACAAUGGGCGCAAGCCUGAUGCAGCAACGCCGCGUGAGGGAUGACGGCCUUCGGGUUGUAAACCUCUUUUAGUAGGGAAGAAGCGAAAGUGACGGUACCUGCAGAAAAAGCACCGGCUAACUACGUGCCAGCCGCCGCGGUAA